UCAGCUCUUGUGAAGUUGUAUUAAAGCAAUUAAUGUACGAUGAAGAAUGAUAAUCCAUUGCUUGAUUUGGAGUGAAGAAUAUAUUGUUUUGCGGGAGAUAAGCAGAAGUAUUAGCCACGUUGAUUUGUAAUGGUAGUUGUGCGGGAGAACCAUAACAUAACUAUGGGGGCACAAAGUGUGUUGGUGCAAUUCGUGGGGUUUGCUUCUUACACCAUAUAGC
rnacentral:lncRNA from 1 species